CCUACGGGGGGCUGCAGUGAGGAAUAUUGGUCAAUGGACGCAAGUCUGAACCAGCCAUGCCGCGUGCAGGAAGACGGCUCUAUGAGUUGUAAACUGCUUUUGUACGAGGGUAAACGCAGAUACGCGUAUCUGUCUGAAAGUAUCGUACGAAUAAGGAUCGGCUAACUCCGUGCCAGCAGCCGCGGUAAUACGGAGGAUUCAAGCGUUAUCCGGAUUUAUUGGGUUUAAAGGGUGCGUAGGCGGUCGGAUAAGUUAGAGGUGAAAUCCCGAGGCUCAACUUCGGAAUUGCCUCUGAUACUGUUCGUCUAGAGAGUAGUUGCGGUAGGCGGAAUGUAUGGUGUAGCGGUGAAAUGCUUAGAGAUCAUACAGAACACCGAUUGCGAAGGCAGCUUACCAAGCUACUUCUGACGUUGAGGCACGAAAGCGUGGGGAGCAAACAGGAUUAGAUACCCGGGUAGUC
rnacentral:rRNA from 1 species